UUCCAGGUAGAAUUAUGAUAAUGACAUUAUCUGCCUGUGUGUCUUGACCAAAUUACGUGCCAGCAGUCGCGGUAAUACGUAGAAGACUAGUGUUAUUCAUCUUUAAUAGGUUUAAAGGGUACCUAGACGGUAAAUAAAGCCUUCACGGGGACUAAUUUACUAGAGUUACUUGUGAGGGGGCAUUAAAGUACUGCUGGUGUAGAGAUGAAAUUCUAUAAUACCUUUAAUCGAUGGCACAGGUAUAGGCGAAAGCAUCCCCUUAUGUGAUAACUGACGUUGAAGGACGAAGGCUUUGUGUCGCGAACAGGAUUAGAUACCCUAGUAGUCAGAGCAGAAAAUGAUGAAUGUCAUAGAUUAGACGUAAAAUAGUUUAUUCUAUAAAUGAAAGUGUAAGCAUUCCACCUCAAGAGUAAUUUGGCAACAUUGGAACUGAAAUCAUUAGACCGUUUCUGAAACCAGUAGUGAAGUAUGUCGUUUAAUUUGAUAAUCCGCAAAAAACCUUACCACAAUUUGAAUAUUUAUAUCUUUUCCUAUUUGAUCUUUUUUAUGUAAAAAAUUUUAUUUAUUAUGUAAAAAAAAUAAAGAGGAAAAAGAUAUAUUUACAAGCGUUGCACGGCUGUCUUCAGUUAAUGUCGUGAGAUUUUGGUUAGUUCCAUUAAAUUAACGUAAACCCUUACUUUAUUUUUAUAUAAAGUAGUUCCCCUCUAUAUUGGAUAUGAUAACAG
rnacentral:rRNA from 1 species